rnacentral:rRNA from 1 species
AUACGUAGGGGGCGAGCGUUGUCCGGAAUGAUUGGGCGUAAAGGGCGCGUAGGCGGCCCGGUAAGUCUGGAGUGAAAGUCCUGUUUUUAAGAUGGGAAUUGCUUUGGAUACUGUCGGGCUUGAGUGCAGGAGAGGUAAGUGGAAUUCCCAGUGUAGCGGUGAAAUGCGUAGAGAUUGGGAGGAACACCAGUGGCUAAGGCGACUUACUGGACUGUAACUGACGCUGAGGCGCGAAAGUGUGGGGAGCAAACAGGAUUAGAUACCCUGGUAGUCCACACUGUAAACGAUGAAUUCUAGGUGUAGUGGGUAUCGACCCCUUCUGUGCCGCAGUCAACACAAUAAGCAUUCCGCCUGGGGAGUACGGCCGCAAGGUUGAAACUCAAAUGAAUUGACGUGG